rnacentral:rRNA from 1 species
CGUGUAGGCUGUUUUGCAAGUCGGGUGUGAAAGCCCGGGGCUCAACCUCGGAAGUGCAUUCGAAACUGCAAGACUGGAGUAUCGGAGAGGGUCGCGGAAUUCUGGGUGUAGAGGUGAAAUUCGUAGAUAUCCAGAGGAACACCAGUGCGAAGGCGGCGACCUGGACGAUUACUGACGCUGAGACGCGAAAGCGUGGGGAGCAAACAG